AUGAGGUCUACACCCACAGUGACACACCUACUCUGGACCAAGUAUAUACAAACAAUCAUACACAUGUAGAGUAUAGUGACACUUUAACACAUUAUGUAUAUCACCUCAGAUGUAUCUUCAUGCUGGAAACAAGAAUUCUCUCUUAGCUGUUUGAGAAUAUUUCAUUGAUUGCUGCCACGGUUAAUAUUGUCGAUUUCAUGGACAUAGAGUCAGUAAAGAGACAAGGCCUCUGAGCAUGCUGGGACUUUUGUAGAUUAGGUUACUUGAGGUGGGAAUACCCAGUCUAAAUGUAGGUAGUCCUAUCCCAUAUGCUGGGAUCCUGGGCUACAUCGAAACAGAAAUGAGAGCUGAGCCCCCAGGGUUCAUCUUUCUUUGCUUCCUGGCAGCCAGUGCUUCAUGUCCGGCCUCCUCACAGUCCUGUCCCACCAUGAUACACUGUAUCCCCAAACUAUAAGCCAAGAUAAACCACUUCUCUUGCAAGAUGCUUUUGUCAGAGCAACAAGCUCAUGAUAGUUAGGCUGCCAUCUUUUCUCAGAGCUCUGCAUUAUAGAAUUAGAGGAGACAUGUUUGCUGAUCAAGCCCAGAAAUCUCUCUCUUCCCUCAUGAUUUUCCAGAGCCUAUGGAAUCAAUACCUGCUAGACAUCACCAAAAGAAACCCAGAAGGCACUCUGCAUGUAUUUUUGGUCCUGAACUUUACAAGUGCCGAGGGAUCCGCAGGCAACUCAAAUGGCCACCAACUUCUGUAGAAGGAGCACUUAUUAAAGGAACGUUAGCUGGCUCACCAAUCUCCAGGAGGCAAAAAAUAACCCAGGCUGUUGAGUUAGGUUGCCAACAACUGCAUGAGCUAAAAGCGUGCGGCAGAUUUAGCUCCACCAAGACGUGGCUGCUGCCUCCGUGAAGCAGAGUGAGUCAGCGGCCCUGCCACCCCUGGUCCCCUGCAUGGUGCACUGGCCUCCGUCUUGCCAUUGACACCCCCGUGCUAAAGAUGUUUUCUGUGUCCCUGCUCCUUAUGAACAGAGUACUUGAGCAAAAUGAAGACUGCCUGGACAGCUGUGCCAAGGUCAGAAGCCCAUGGCUAGCAUGUGGGUAGAGGGUCAAGAAGAGACUCAGUGGGGAACGCCCUUCCCCCUCCUGCCACUCCAGACACAGAAAAAGUGACCAAAGGAGAGAGCCACCUCAGCUGUUGGUAACUUCUCUAGCUCUGUCUGUAAUGCUUGGCUAUGGGAUGCGUCUUAAGGCUCACAUGCUGAAAGCUCUUCCUGCAGCUGCUGGGGCUGCUAGAACGAGCUUGAAACUUUAGAAGAGCAGCUCAGAGAA